GAAUCAACGCUGGCGGCGCGCCUAACACAUGCAAGUCGAACGAGAAAGUGGAGCAAUCCAUGAGUACAGUGGCGUACGGGUGAGUAACACGUGGGUGAUCUACCUCUUAGUGAGGAAUAACCCUGGGAAACCGGGGCUAAUACCGCAUAAGCCUGAGAAGGGAAAGCAGCAAUGCGCUGAGAGAGGAGCCCGCGGCCGAUUAGCUAGUUGGUGAGGUAAAAGCCCACCAAGGCAGAGAUCGGUAGCCGGCCUGAGAGGGCACACGGCCACACUGGCACUGAAACACGGGCCAGACUCCUACGGGAGGCAGCAGUGGGGAAUCUUGCACAAUGGGGGAAACCCUGAUGCAGCGACGCCGCGUGAGCGAUGAAGCCCUUCGGGGUGUAAAGCUCUUUCGUCAGGGAAGAUCAUGACGGUACCUGGAGAAGCAGCUGCGGCUAACUACGUGCCAGCAGCCGCGGUAAUACGU
rnacentral:rRNA from 1 species